rnacentral:lncRNA from 1 species
GUGCUAUGUGUCCUACCCGGUUGCAAUAAUGACAUAUUACGUUCGGGUUGUGCAUAUGCCUCGGUUGUGCCAAAAACGUUCUAGGUGAUCUAAAAUCGUUAUUCCUAGAAGCGUUGAAAUUCCUAGAAUUAUAUCUAGGUGAUGUAGAAUAAUUAUUUCUAGACUCAUUGACAAAAAUCCUAGAAUUAUUUCUAGGUGGCCUAAAAU